CCGCGGCCACAGAGAGAAGGGGGCGGAUCCUCGCGUGCCAGACACGCCCCGGCCGGGUAUAAAAUUCGCCAGGCACUCGCUCCCCAGGCCACCGCGGCUCCCUCGCUCCGCUGGGGCCUCCGGACGCGCUCCCAGCGCGGGUCUCUGGAACACUCGGGCCGAACGCAAGCCCGCUUGCACUCACACUGCAGUUCACACCCGCAGGCGCGCUCGCACCCACAUUGCGGCUCACGCGCGCUCACACUCCCCCACGCGCGCUCCACUCCCUCUCCAGCCCCUAGCCCCGCGAAGGCGCAGGCACCGCCGCAGAGAGCGCCGAGGGGCCCCGCGGCCUUCCCAUGGCGGACCUGAGCUUCAUCGAAGAUACGGUCGCCUUCCCCGAGAAGGAAGAGGAUGAGGAGGAAGAGGAGGAGGGUGUGGAGUGGGGCUACGAGGAAGGUGUUGAGUGGGGUCUGGUGUUUCCUGAUGCUAAUGGGGAAUACCAGUCACCUAUUAACCUAAACUCAAGAGAGGCUAGGUAUGACCCCUCACUGCUGGAUGUCCGCCUUUCCCCAAAUUAUGUGGUCUGCCGAGACUGUGAAGUCACCAAUGAUGGACAUACCAUUCAGGUUAUCCUGAAGUCAAAAUCAGUUCUUUCGGGAGGACCAUUGCCUCAAGGGCAUGAAUUUGAACUGUAUGAAGUGAGAUUUCACUGGGGAAGAGAAAACCAGCGUGGUUCUGAGCACACGGUUAAUUUCAAAGCUUUUCCCAUGGAGCUCCAUCUGAUCCACUGGAACUCCACUCUCUUUGGCAGCAUUGACGAGGCUGUGGGGAAGCCGCACGGGAUCGCCAUCAUUGCUCUGUUUGUUCAGAUAGGAAAGGAACAUGUUGGCUUAAAGGCUGUGACUGAAAUCCUCCAGGAUAUUCAAUAUAAGGGGAAGUCCAAAACAAUACCUUGCUUUAAUCCUAACACUUUAUUACCAGACCCUCUACUGCGGGAUUACUGGGUGUAUGAAGGCUCUCUCACCAUCCCACCUUGCAGUGAAGGUGUCACCUGGAUAUUAUUCCGAUACCCUUUAACUAUAUCCCAGCUACAGAUAGAAGAAUUUCGAAGGCUGAGGACGCAUGUUAAGGGGGCAGAACUUGUAGAAGGCUGUGAUGGGAUUUUGGGAGACAACUUUCGGCCCACUCAGCCUCUUAGUGACAGAGUCAUUAGAGCUGCAUUUCAGUAGCCAAAGAGGACAGGAACAAGUCUGUCUUCAUGAGGGACAUUGCCCAGAAGGAGAUCAUUUAGAUUGUUUCCAGUUUCUUUUUGCAGAGGAAGACAGUGGUCCUAUAGUGCCCUUGGAUGAGAAAAGAAAACUUUUGAGCUGCAUCUUCAGUUUAUCCUCAAAGCCUGCGUUGUCUUCAUCUAAUCCAGCUUUGAUGGACGUCUGUGAUGGUUGCCUAUACACUUGCUGAAAUGAAAUAUUAGAAAUGGCUGUAUAUUCCAAAGAAACCCUAUAUUAUAUAUCCACGUUACUGCUGCUAUACUGUUUAUUGCUUAUGUGUAGAGAGAAUGAAACUAGUUUCCAGAGUUGUUAUUAAUCUGAAUAUAUAUCAUGUGUUAAUAUUGAGAAAGGAAAAAUACAUUCCCAGUGUUAGUAGUUCUUCAUUUCCUGUCUCCAACAGAAAAUUAACUCAUUUUAAAACUAGUAUAAUUCUUGAUAAUAAAUUAAGAGUUUUGAUUAAGAACAGCAGAGAGCUUCAAAAUGCAAAGUGAAUGAUUAGUAAAAUUAUAUCUCAUUUUAUUUUUUCAGCACCCAUACCACAAUUAACGUUAGGCUGGAUUGCCAUGGGAAACAUUUUUUUGGUGUUAAUGCAGCAACAUAAUACUCACUUUAUGUAUUACUACAUAGUUAAAGGAUUUAACUGAAUGUAUGAAUCAAAUUAUAUUUAUUUGACCUAUUCGAAGCUGUGGUUUAUAGGAAUUUGAGAAAGGUAUAAGAAAUAGGAUAAAAAGAAGGUCACCACCAUGUACCAGGAAUAGCUUUACUUUCCAUAAAUAGAAAUAUAAAUUUAAUGGUAUCAUAUAUUACUUUAGUGUUGUAUACUUUGUAAGACUUAAAAAUAUUUUCUUCUAUUGAUUCCACUUCUUUGGUAUGUUAAGACGUUUCUUUAAAGAUGACCAACAAUAUCCUUAUUUUAGGUGCUACUAGCAAAUGUAAGCAUAUACUUAGUUGCAGUUAGAUGUGACAGAAUGAGAUGAUUUAUGUAAAGUAGUAGAGUGCCUGGCACAAAGCAAACAAUAAAUGUUAUUGUUGUUAUAA